rnacentral:rRNA from 1 species
UACGAAGGGGGCUAGCGUUGUUCGGAAUUACUGGGCGUAAAGCGUGCGCAGGCGGCUUCUCAAGUCAGGGGUGAAAGCCCAGAGCUCAACUCUGGAAUUGCCUUUGAGACUGAGUGGCUUGAGUACGAGAGAGGUGAGUGGAAUUCCCAGUGUAGAGGUGAAAUUCGUAGAUAUUGGGAAGAACACCGGUGGCGAAGGCGGCUCACUGGCUCGGUACUGACGCUGAGGUGCGAAAGCGUGGGGAGCAAACAGGG